CGACGCUGGAAUGCCUGAGGAAGACUGCGCUUCUUCCUGCUCCUCUACAUGGCGCUACGCGGGACUCGCUUCUGAGCACGUCUUUCUCGUUGGAGCGAAUUUUGUCUUUCUGACGCGGGAUUAGGUUCCUGGACUUAGGGAGUUGCUACACGCCAGCUCCACCAUGGCGACGGCAUUCACUAGGCAGCCUACAUAGCCACCUUUCAGCUCACGCUUCGGGAUACUUUUUUCGCUGAGAUUCUCCGCGAUAAGGCAUGAAAGCAGAGACCACCGUCUGCGGAGGCAUGAUUAUUCUAUUGUUCCUUUUAACGAGUAAUCGUUUUACUCGAGUCCUCUUACUAAACCGUAAGUACAAAAGACUAUUAUACUUAGAUAGGUACUUGGUCUCAAGAACCAACUUAUUUUGGUCUUUCGAUUAAGUUCUUAAUUAAAUGCUCAAUUAGAUAUUCAUAAAUAUAUCUUCAUAAUAUUUCCCUCAUCUAUUUCUUUGACAUUCUAGCAACCUCGUUAAGACGUCCGCCACUUCAACUUCUAUCUACAAGUGGCAAAAACUGAAGCUGACCUUCUUCAUGGAGAAACAUGCCGGAAAUGGCAUCCGCACGUGUAAAUAAUUAUACUCAGUGUCCAGGUAGUUUUUUCGAUCAUCCGAUAGAAGUCGUUUCUGUUUUUCAGAGUUCGUUCACGCCUCCAGAAUGUAAAAAUAUCCAAGGAAGUACCAUUAGGAAGCAAUGAAAUUCAGAGCUUCUGUGGUUAUUCCUUUUUCUGAUUGUUUCUUUUCUUUGCCCAAAAUGGAUGAUUUCUAUAUCAAAUUGUUUAUUUGUAUUUUUUUUUAAUAUUCCUUGAGAUUUUCAAUCAACUCGAUUUCGAAUUUUUUUACCACCCGAUCUUCUGGUUGACGUCGUUAAGAAAGAGGAACGAGUGCACAGGAAGCAUGGUCGGCGUGAGCAUGAUUAGAUCCGGUCUGCCCGAUGACCUUGCCAGUGAUAAUAGCGGUUCGUUAAGGUGGUUGCAGUCUUGGUUUGCUUCUGUUUCGAUUUCCAGCGAACUCGUCAGCCGGCAUGGCUUCCGAGAUGCUCCCCCUGAAACAAGUCGAAGGGAAAUAAUUAAUGGACUCUCUGUUCGAUUAUGGAACCAAAGAUUCUUAUCUGGUUUAUGGUGAGCUAAGGAACUCUUUGAAAACAGCAUUUAUAACUUUCGAAAAAGAGACAGGUAUUUCUUGCGCGAACAAUUGAAUAAUUAAUUCGUUCUCUAAAUAUCCUUAUCUGUUGUUCCUAAAAUACAUAAUGAUUGGAAGCUUCUUACGGGAAGCGCAAUCAGCCGCUGAUAUCAUUGAAGUCGAAACGCCAUUAAAACCAUAUUACGAUUCGCAUGCGACAUGCUCCAUUCAUGAAAACACAAAAGCAAUAAACAAGUACAAAUCAACGAAAUAAAUCCUCCGAGAACGAGACGUUACAGGAAUUAUACCAUUGCGAGGAUACAAAAGACUUGCUCAUGAGCUACUUCCUUCAAGUAGUCGAGCGGUGUAUUUUCCGGUCGUUAACUUCCAUAUAAUGGGAUAUUAAAGAGUACGGAUACAACGC